CUUUAUUUCACCAUAAAUUUAACACAGUGAAUGCUUUUUCAAAUUAAUAAAUAUGUGUGCACAUGACAUUUGUCAAUCUGUUCACAAGUAAUUUUUUGUUUAAAUUUGUAUGAAUAUUUUUAAAAGACAAAAUUUCAAACAAUAUAUAAAAGUAUAUUCCUAAAUAGAAAUUAAUCUGCAUCCUUCACUUGCUCUUCCCCUACCCCUUAACACAAAAAGGUUUGCUGUCAAUAGAACAAAGCUUUUAUCCCAGACAUGUUUCACAUCAUGCCUCUGAGCAGACCCAAAUUCUGUUCUCCAGGUUGGGAAGAAUGUAAUUGACCUCAGCUGGUGAGCUCAGUGAUAGGUCACAUGAAGGAAGCAAGGAGUGGUGUUUGCCUAAUGGCUGCUCCUGGACUGCUCAGUAUAUUAAUACAUUUACAGAAAAAUUGUGAACGUGUACAGGAGUAACCAGUACAGGGUCCUCAGAUCAUGCAUUAUUCAGCCAUAUCACACCAGGAUUUCAGCCACCUGCUGCCUUCUUGGAGAGGCAAAAAUUUAGCAUUUAUUUGACUCACAAUUGCCCAUUGUCCAUUUUCUCACUAAUAACUAAAUACAUAUUUAGCUCAAAACUCAUACUAGUCGAUUAGAGGCCUCUCAUGAGCUCUAAAGUGAAAAUAAGAGCGUAAGAAAGAAAAUGUGCUGGGUGAAGUGGCUCACACCUAUAAUCCCAGCACAUUAAGAGGUCGAGGUGGGAGGAUCACUUGGGCCCAGGAGUCCGAGACCAGCCUGGGCAACCUAAAGAGACUCCCGUCUCUACAAAAAUAAACAAACAAAAAAAAUUAACUGGGUGUGUUGAUAUGCACCUGUGGUCCCAGCUACUCGGGAAGCUGAGCUGGGAGGAUCACAGGAGCCCCAGGAGGUUGAAGCUGCAGUGAGCCAUGAUCGCAACACUGUACUCCAGCCAAAAAAAAAAAAUGAGCAAUUUCUAGUGUUAAAUCUGAGAUAAGAUAGCUUCAUCACGUUAACUUUUAAAAAUACAUUUAUUGUCUAUAUUUAAGAUAUGCAAUAUGAUGUUCUAAGAUACAUACAGAAAGUAAAGUAUUAGUUACUAUAUAGUGAAGAAAAUAAAUAUAUUCAUAAUACCACAUAGUUACCCAUUUUUUUGUGCAUGGCAAGAACAGCUAAAAUCUUCUCAUUUAGCAAAACCCCUAAGUAUCUUCAUUUUAAAACCUUCUCAAGUUUCAAGAAAUUGAUUAUUUUUUAAAAUCUCCCCAUUCAGCCAGAAUCUCCAUCUCUUUCCCUUCAAAGUUAAACUACCAAAGAGAGUUUUCUACAUUUCCUGUUAAAAUUCUUCACUUCCCCCUGCACUGUGGCUUCUGUCGCCAGGAUUGCAAUGAACAUGAUCUUACCAAGGUUGCAAUCCACCUAUUUGUCACCAGGUCCAGUUUUUUGUGUAAAUGUAUUAACCUGUGAAGUAUUACUUUUAAUGAGCUCCUAAAAUAUGCAUGCUUGUGUAGUUGCUUCUUUCACCUAACAACAGAGCCUUGACAGUUUCCCAGGCUCUGGAGCAUGAUGUACUGAACAUAAAUCCAAGCUGUCGCACUCCCUAACUGUGCAGUCUCAGGUAAAAUUUUUAUUCUAUCUGCUCCUUAGUUUUCCAUCUACAAAAUGGAGAUCAGCAACAGUUUCAACCUUGUAAGGGUGCCGUGAGAAUUGAACGACUCAGUAGCUAAAAAGCACUUGGCACAUAACAUAUUGUAGCCAUAUUUGUUUCUCUGUCUUUAUUGGCCAUUAGUAUUUACUAUCUCUGUGGUAAAGACUCAUAUUUACUCACAACCAAUGACCUUUGAGGUAUGGUUUUAGUGAGACAAGCAGGUUAUAAAACUAAAUGUAGAAUGAGAUCUUAUAUUUUGUAGAUAAGUAUAUAAAUGUAUUCAUUUCUGCAUAAAUUUAUAAGUACCUGCAUAAGAAAAUUUGUGAAAGAAUAUUAUACAGAUAUAAGCAUUAGCAGGUAUUCUCUUUGAAAUACUCAAGAUAUUUUGAGAGCAGGUAUUCUCUUUUGUUUUAGAGUAAUGCUGUUUAUUUCAUUUCUUAUGUAUUUAUAACUGUAAUAAAUAUCAAAUGCUCCUGCAAUUAUACAAAAACAUUGUCAGGAACAUUCAAGCAUUCCUUACCCCACCCACAGGAAAGAGAUACACAUUUAGAAUGAAGAAUAUCCCUGAAGCUCAAGAAUAAAAGAUACUGAGGGAGCCACUUCCAAGUAUACGAGGAUAUAUUUUCCCCUAAUUCAAAACCAAAGCAAUAAUUAUCAAUAUUUUAUACACCAUGACAUUCUAGGAUUUAAAACCUAGUAGUUUUACACGUUUGUAGUAUUGUGCCUUCAUGGAUACACAUUCAACAACUCCUCCCACUUUGAAUUACCCACUGGUGCAGAUGAAAUUCUGGUUCAGAGUCCUGUAGGUGGUAAUGGUAUGAGGGUCAAGGGCAUGUGACUUCUCUCUCCUCUUUAUCUGCACUCUUUCUUUAUUUGACACUCCAUAGGAAACUAUUUUUCCAAUAUCAGUAUAGAAGCUCAAAUAAUGGGGCAAAAAUGACACAGAAUUAAAGAAAUGGUUUGAUGAUCUUUUCCCUCUUCCCACAUUCCUUGGCAAAGCCAUCCUGCAUCACAGAAAUAGCCCCAAAGCUUCAUUUAUAAACUAAAUGUAAGUAUAUGCUACUUCUUCCUGCUCCAUUACCAGCUGGUCUCUGUGGUAGUUAUGCUGUUUGGUUUAGAUGACAGUCAUCACUUCUCUGGGAAGGAGAAGAAAAGUGGGCCAGGAUGAAUAUUUGUUGAAGACUAGGUGCCAUCUUCUCUGUAUAGGAUUUCUCUAGGUGCCAUCUUCUCUGUAUAGGAUUUCUCUAGGUGCCAUCUACUCUGUAUGGGAUUUCUCAUUUACCC
rnacentral:lncRNA from 10 species